AUCGAAUGUGACUACCGCACAGUAAUCUUUGGAGCCAUACAUCCAUCUUGUUCCUUCUAUAGCUUUACUUGCGACGUCAAAGGUAUAUUCAGCGAGAAAUAUUAAAUGCAACCAAAAAUUUGUGGUAACAUAAAUAUAAAAUAAGAUCACACCACAAGAACAAAUGUCAAACAAUGCAAAACACAUGACUUUCAGAUGCUUACCAUCAGAACGCCUACAUUAAACACCUCCGAAAAAUAACUUCAAUGAAAACUCUUUUUCUGUUCUAAACUUUGGAUGUCACGUCGAUGUGCAUUCUUCAGCAAUUGUCACCGAAUGUUAUAGCGGAAAGUACGACUUAACUGCGAUUUAAAUUCGUUUUAAUUCAUAACAUUGAAAAAAUAUUCUGCUUACCUAAUAUCUCCAUCCCUUUAACUGCAAGCAUGACGGCAAAUGAGACAAUGCGCUUACUUCUUUUUAGUUUUACUGAGACAUCAUAAAUAUCUGGAUCGAAUCAGGUAUACAAUCAAAUGAAUUACAACAGUCGAAGUGUACGGUUGUGUUAAUUUAAAAUUAUAAGCGAAACAUAUGUAUGUAGUAUAUAGACUUGCAAAAAGUCUGUGUGUUAUAUUAUAUUGUUCACUAAAACUUUUUCAUUAUAAACUAAUAAAUAAAAUUUAUUUAACGAGUUGUCUAUACGAAAAAGCAACAAAACUCAGGAAGGAAUGUAAAAGUCAUCAGAACAUUUAAGCGAAUUAGAGGAAAUAAAGGAGAAAAGAAAGCUUAUCGUUAGUUAAGAAAGUUAUCGAGCCAAGCAUCGAGUACGUCAGCAUGCAUCAAAAAGCCGAGCAUCAGAAGCAAAGGAAGCCAGAGCCUCAUAACCAGAGGAAGCCGGAGAAAUUUAUGUAUUAUGUAUAUUUGGGCAAUGUAGUUUUCAAAAUCAAAUGGUGCUGUAUGCUCAGGAUGUUUACGAAGUUACUGAAAAUCUUCCGAACAUGUUACUAAGAACCACUAAUAAUGCUGAACUACUUAUCAUUGCUUAGUUUUUUUCAGUAUCUAGGCAAAAGGUUAUGCACUACAUUGGUUAAUUCCUAACAAUCCCUUUUAUAAAGACGUCACUAUCGAUCAAAACGUCUCAAUGAAAGAAGAGGAUAUUAUAAGAGUAGAAAAAGCACCACUAGAGAUUGAAAUCAAGGAGCAGGUUAACUAUGAUACUAGUGCUUACAUAAGAAUGAGUGAUUUUUAGAGAAUUGUAUGCGCUUCAUGGCACCAAGCAAACCAGGUCAUAUUCACAUCAGGUUUUGCAGGUGUACAAUUCUUUGCGACGGCAUUAUCUACCAGAUCCAGUUUUCUUGCACCAAAGCACUGGUUUCCAAACCCCCUCCAUCUGAAUAUGAUAACGAGUGACCAAAUCCACAGCAAUACUAGAUUUCCAACAGAGCGAAAUUUAAUGGCCUAUUUUAUUGAAGAUGAACCAAACAUAUAUGGAAGUAUAACGAAACAAACUUUGGACACACCCUUUGUCAAGGCUUGGAAGAUCUGUUCAUGGAACAUAGCGCCGGCAUAUAACAGAUGGACAAUCAUUAGGAGCGAUGUACUAAACAAAUGAAUAGUACUAAUACUACUUCACUAACUGAAAUUCUUAUGGUCAAAAGGGAUCUGGAGCAAACGAACAAUGUGGAAGCCUGCGUUAUCGAAUGCGACAAUUUAGACAAGUUUGUGAAGAUUUGUAAACGUAUAGUAUACUCUUGAUUACGUUGAUGUUGUAUAUCAACAUGAUGAGACUGGGUGAUUGAAAUACUACAAUAGAGUAUUGAGACAAUAAUGGCAGCGUCUGAAACGAUUACUUCUCAACAACAAAUUCCUAAUCAAAUAAUUCCACUGAAGACAUCAAUGAUGGCACCGGUUGAUGUAAUGCAACCCAAUGCGGAAGAUGAAGAUGGUUUAACAAAACCUAAACAAAAUUAAACCCAAACGAAAGACAACAUACUUAAUAUUGGACAUGAAAUGAAAGCAGAAGAAUUUAUUUAUUUAUUUUAUUUAGUUACUAAAGUCUAUGA